rnacentral:rRNA from 1 species
CCUACGGGGGGCAGCAGUGAGGAAUAUUGGUCAAUGGGCGCGAGCCUGAACCAGCCAAGUAGCGUGAAGGAUGACUGCCCUACGGGUUGUAAACUUCUUUUAUAAGGGAAUAAAGUGAGGCACGUGUGCCUUUUUGUAUGUACUUUAUGCAUAAGGGUCGGCUAACUCCGUGCCAGCAGCCGCGGUAAUACGGAGGAUCCGAGCGUUGUCCGGAUUUAUUGGGUUUAAAGGGAGCGGAGAUGGGUUGUUAAGUCAGUUGUGAAAGUUUGCGGCUCAACCGGAAAAUUGCAAUUGAUACUGGCAGCCUUGAGUGUAGUAGAGGUAGGUGGAAUUCGUGGUGUAGCGGUGAAAUGCUUAGAUAUCACGAAGAACACCGAUUGCGAAGGCAGCUUACUAAACUGCCACGGACGUUGAUGCUCGAAAGUGUGGGUAUCAAACAGGAUUAGAUACCCGGGUAGUC